ensembl:lncRNA
CUGCAUCCAUCACUACACCCAAAUGGGUAUGCUUUAGGCUGGAUCUGCAUCACAAUUAAGAAGUUGGUACUGUGUGAAUGUCCAAUUUCCCUUGAUUAGAGUCUGAUUGAGGCUUUGUGUGUAACAUCUGAUUUUAAAAUGCUAAAGCCCCAGCCACACAAGCCUAGAGACUUGGUAAAACCCGACAACCCAACAUCCUUGUAACAGAUAACUGGAAUUCCAGUUUUCUUUUCGCCCAGUUUUGGGGUACACACACACAUGCACUACCAACCUCACACUACAAGUUCGGACACAUGUUUUCAUUUAAUGUUUUUUCUUUAUUUCAUAAUCAUUUCAUUCAUGACUAUUUACGUUAUAGGUUCUCACUGUAGCACCUCCUCCUCCAUGUUUCACAGUGGGAACCAUGCAUGUAGAGACCAUCAAUUCACCUUUUCUGUGUCGCACAAAGACACGGCAGGUGGAACCAAAGAUCUCAAAUUUGGACUCAUCAGACCAAAGCACAGAUUUCCACUGGUCUAAUGUCCACUCUUUGUAUUUCUUGGCCCCAAACAAAUCUGUUGUUGUUUUUCCUUGGUAGAAGUUUCUUAGCAGCUGUUUGAGGCCUGAUUUUUGCAGUCUCCUCUGAACAGUUGAUGUAGAGAUGUGUCUGCUACUGGAACUUUGUCUGGCAUUUAUCUGGGUCUAAUCUGAGGGGCUGUCAACGUGUGAUUUCUGAGGCUGGUGACUCGAAGCAAUCCUUAGCAGCAGAAGUGACUCUUGGUCUACCUAUCCUGGAGUGGUUCUCAUGUGAGCCAGUUUUGUCAUAGCCCUUGAUGGUUUUUGCGACUGCACUUUGGGCCACAUUCAAAGUUUUAGCAAUUUUCUGGACUCACUGACCUUCUUAAAGUAAUGCUGGGCUGUUGUUUCUCUUUACUUAGGCACACACAUAUAGAUAUAUCAGCUAUGUAUAUUUGAGUGUGUGUGUAAAUGCAUACAGUUGUUAUAUUGAAGAUAAGGGUAAAUGCAAUUUUAUUUUAUAAAACAAAUUCAAUGUUCUUAACAAAGAAAGUAAAAACAGAAAAACCUGUGUAGGUUUUACAGUGCCGUAAGGCAGUAAAAACAGCAAAUAAAACUAAAGAAAAAUCCCAACCUACUAAACUGACCUCUGCUGCAGUACUACUCUCAUUUGUGAAAUGCACAAUUGAUUUGUAACAAAUUUAACUCAAAGGUUCUCUAAACUCCAGUGGCAUCAAGAACACCUAACAGUAACAUUUGCAUGCUCCACUCUAAACAGCCCAUUGUAACGUGUGCUGAAUAAGUACUGAGUAGUGAAUAAGUGCCAACUGCAUUGCAUCACUCUCAAAAUCUAAAAAAAUUCCUUGAAAUGAAACAAGAUGAUGGAAGUAGUCAACGUUUUUGCGUUGUCAAUGAGCAGACCAGCUGUGAUAACAGACUGCUCAUUCCCGGUCAUCAUCGACCCAUUUAACAGUCCCUCAUUAGAUUCAUUAAAGAUAUUCUAAUGACUGAAUUUUGCACUGCAGCCUUUAACCAAUUCAAUGUUUCUGAGGGACCCAGGGCCCACUUUUUUGGAUUUAUGUUACUUGUUAUAUGUACUUUUGAUGUAUUGUGUGGCUGUCCCUGGUUUCCCUGCUUACAGGUAUGUGUAUGGGUCUGUGUAUGGGUGUGUCUGGUAGGACAAGCCUCGUUGGAGGAGCUACUUAGGAGUGUGGUGCAACUCUCUCCGACGCUGGAUCGUUUCGUGAGACUUCCGAGAAUUGCGGGACGAGAGGGCAGCAAAGACGGACCACACUAACACUAAGCAGUGGAGACACAGAGCACUGACACUGGAUGAGGAUACGGAACGGGAGUCUGGGACACUAGGGGAUUUAUUGUUGC